rnacentral:rRNA from 1 species
AGCGAACGCUGGCGGCAGGCCUAACACAUGCAAGUCGAACGGAUCCUUCGGGAUUAGUGGCGGACGGGUGAGUAACACGUGGGAACGUGCCCUUUGGUUCGGAACAACUCAGGGAAACUUGAGCUAAUACCGGAUGUGCCCUUCGGGGGAAAGAUUUAUCGCCAUUGGAGCGGCCCGCGUCUGAUUAGCUAGUUGGUGAGGUAACGGCCCACCAAGGCGACGAUCAGUAGCUGGUCUGAGAGGAUGUUCAGCCACACUGGGACUGAGACACGGCCCAGACUCCUACGGGAGGCAGCAGUGGGGAAUCUUGCGCAAUGGGCGAAAGCCUGACGCAGCCAUGCCGCGUGAAUGAUGAAGGUCUUAGGAUUGUAAAAUUCUCUCAGCGGGGACGAUAAUGACGGUACCCGCAGAAGAAGCUCCGGCUAACUUCGUG